UACUUGGGUGAACCCACGCUCUACUGUGCUUCCCCAUGUCUUGGGGUCAUCACUGAAUUACAAUGGUGUCCCCCAUUGUGGCGGACAAGUCGGGUCUCUGGGGUUCUGUUUCUCUGGAGAAGCCUGAUUAAUACAACAGCCAGUGGACUGAAUCCAGCCUAUAGACUUUAUUGGCCAACAUAGUGUUAAAAAAAAAACGUUAUUAAUGUUUAAAAUUGGGAGAUUUCAUCAAAAAGAAUGUGGACUCCUAACUUGGAAACGAGACAACGAGACCAGGACUGCGGGCACGCAGAGCUGAGCAGCCCAGCCUCCACCCGCUCCCCCCGCCUGCCCCAGGACAUUGUGUUUUCCCAGGAUCAGGCCAGCUCCGGGCCCAGUCCACGUAACCUUUGGAGAGACAGAUCCUCCCACUGAGUGCUGGCCACAUGGAGCAUCAGAUCUGGUCCCUGCCUGGAGGAGGUGGCAUGGCAUCCUGUCAGGAGGACCAACACAUCAGCCAUGUUCAGAAUGGGGGCAGAGCGGGAGAGAAGCAAGUGAGGCCUGGGGUGCCCCGAGCACUUGCCGCCCCUCCUGGGGACACCGAGCCAGGGACCGGAGCUUCUGUUCAUGGGAGGGCUGCACUGGAGACGCCACCUCGGAGCUGGGGCCACGCUGCGCUCGCUCCUCCUCCUCCCUGGACUCUCCAGGGGUCAGCCCUCCAGCGGGAGACAGAGGGGCUGAGGAAGGAGGCGGGCCGCCGACCCCAGGCCCAGUGUCCUCAGCAGCCCCUGCCCUGUCCUCCUCAUGCGAGGAGUGUGCGCAGGGCAGCGCCGGGAGGGGCUGGCACCUCCGCUACUGUCUGCAGCCCUGGUCUCACCCAUGGGGCCGGCGCCUGCCUCACAGGCCUCGUGAAGACACAGUGAAAGUCAGUGCCGGGGACUGUGAGCAGGGACGCAGCAGCUCAGCACUUCACUUAUUCCCAGGAGUGCAGCAGCCACUCCGCCACAGCCACAACCGGUACCCUCUCCCUCCCUCCCUCCUUCAAGGACUCCCUCGCCAAAGGGGCUGAGUGUUUUCAAGACUGCUAAUGUUUACCUUUAAUCUUCACUUCACUUUUUAAUUAUUUCAUUUAAAAAUAUUUAUAUUA